GGAGGGAGCUCAGUAGUAGAGCACAUGCUUAGCAUGCACGAGGUCCUGGGUUCAAUCUCCAGUAUCUCCA
rnacentral:tRNA from 1 species